UGAGUGCUCGUCGUUUUGAGUGUUUUCAGCAUAAAAAAUAUUCAUCCAACAGGAAAAAUUUCAACAUACGUGAUCGUGUUUCUUGUUGGAGGAUAAUAAUUGUCGGUUUUAGUUCUUGUUCAUUUUCUAAAGUGAUUUUUUGUGGUCGAUAGUUCUUCGGACAUUUCGAUGAAAAAAUCGAAAUAACGAACGGACAAUAAACUCACUCCUGGAAAAAUCAGCAGAAUCGUCUACAGAGGUUAUCUCUAUCAGCUGCUCUACGCUUACAAUUAGGUGUAUCAAACGACUGCUGGUGGUUAUUACAUAAGUCCUUGCAGAGCGCGAUAAACCGACCGCUGCAAAUCCUCCAUUUCUGCAUUUCUGAGUUUCAGUUGCAGAUUCGUAUUCGCAGAAGUCUUGAACCCACCGACGUCUGUCGCCUUCCCCCUAAAAAUAGGAAAGCCACAUCACGCAACUCGACAGAGGCUCUCGUAAAUAAA
rnacentral:misc_RNA from 1 species